CCUACGGGAGGCAGCAGUAGGGAAUCUUUCACAAUGGGCGAAAGCCUGAUGGAGCAACGCCGCGUGCAGGAUGAAGGCCUUCGGGUUGUAAACUGCUUUUAUAAGCGAGGAAUAUGAUGGUAACUCAUGACUAAGGAUCGGCUAACUACGUGCUAGCAGCCGCGGUCAUAAGUAGGAGGCGAGCAUUAUCCUGAGUAACUGGGGGUAAAAAGUUGCGUAGAUGGGAUAAUAAGUAGCUAGGGAAAUCUGGUGGCUCAACCAUUCAGACUAUUAGCUAAACUAUUGAGCUCGAGACCGUUAGGGGUAAGCGGAAUUUCUAGUGUAGGGGUGAAAUCCGUAGAUAUUAGAAAGAACACCGAUAGCGAAGGCAGGUUACUGGGACGGAUCUGACACUAAGGCACGAAAGCGUAGGGAGCAAACGGGAUUAGAUACCCGAGUAGUC
rnacentral:rRNA from 1 species